rnacentral:rRNA from 1 species
ACGGGAGACACACGGCGGGUGCUAACGUCCGUCGUGAAGAGGGAAACAACCCAGACCGCCAGCUAAGGUCCCAAAGUCAUGGUUAAGUGGGAAACGAUGUGGGAAGGCCCAGACAGCCAGGAUGUUGGCUUAGAAGCAGCCAUCAUUUAAAGAAAGCGUAAUAGCUCACUGGUCGAGUCGGCCUGCGCGGAAGAUGUAACGGGGCUAAACCAUGCACCGAAGCUGCGGCAGCGACACUGUGUGUUGUUGGGUAGGGGAGCGUUCUGUAAGCCUGUGAAGGUGUGUCGUGAGGCAUGCUGGAGGUAUCAGAAGUGCGAAUGCUGACAUAAGUAACGAUAAAGCGGGUGAAAAGCCCGCUCGCCGGAAGACCAAGGGUUCCUGUCCAACGUUAAUCGGGGCAGGGUGAGUCGACCCCUAAGGCGAGGCCGAAAGGCGUAGUCGAUGGGAAACGGGUUAAUAUUCCCGUACUUGGUGUUACUGCGAAGGGGGGACGGAGAAGGCUAUGUUGGCCGGGCGACGGUUGUCCCGGUUUAAGCGUGUAGGUGUGUGUUCCAGGUAAAUCCGGUUCACUUUAACACUGAGGCGUGACGACGAGGCACUACGGUGCUGAAGCAACAAAUGCCCUGCUUCCAGGAAAAGCCUCUAAGCAUCAGGUAACAUCAAAUCGUACCCCAAACCGACACAGGUGGUCAGGUAGAGAAUACCAAGGCGCUUGAGAGAACUCGGGUGAAGGAACUAGGCAAAAUGGUGCCGUAACUUCGGGAGAAGGCACGCUGACACGUAGGUGAAGUGAUUUACUCAUGGAGCUGAAGUCAGUCGAAGAUACCAGCUGGCUGCAACUGUUUAUUAAAAACACAGCACUGUGCAAACACGAAAGUGGACGUAUACGGUGUGACGCCUGCCCGGUGCCGGAAGGUUAAUUGAUGGGGUCAGCGCAAGCGAAGCUCCUGAUCGAAGCCCCGGUAAACGGCGGCCGUAACUAUAACGGUCCUAAGGUAGCGAAAUUCCUUGUCGGGUAAGUUCCGACCUGCACGAAUGGCGUAAUGAUGGCCAGGCUGUCUCCACCCGAGACUCAGUGAAAUUGAACUCGCUGUGAAGAUGCAGUGUACCCGCGGCAAGACGGAAAGACCCCGUGAACCUUUACUAUAGCUUGACACUGAACAUUGAGCCUUGAUGUGUAG